rnacentral:rRNA from 1 species
GAUGAACGCUAGCGAUAGGCUUAACACAUGCAAGUCGAGGGGCAGCAUGGUCUUAGCUUGCUAAGACUGAUGGCGACCGGCGCACGGGUGCGUAACGCGUAUGCAACUUGCCUCACAGAGGGGGAUAACCCGUCGAAAGACGGACUAAUACCGCGUACACUCUAUUUUGGGCAUCCAAGGUAGAGGAAAUGAAAUUCGCUGUGAGAUAGGCAUGCGUCCCAUUAGCUAGUUGGUGAGGUAACGGCUCACCAAGGCGACGAUGGGUAGGGGAACUGAGAGGUUGAACCCCCACACUGGUACUGAGACACGGACCAGACUCCUACGGGAGGCAGCAGUGAGGAAUAUUGGUCAAUGGGCGAGAGCCUGAACCAGCCAAGUCGCGUGAAGGAUGACUGUCUUAGGGAUUGUAAACUUCUUUUGUAGGGGAAUAAAGAGGGGCACGUGUGCCCCAGUGAAUGUACCCUACGAAUAAGCAUCGGCUAACUCCGUG